ACUAAGCCAGUGGUGAACUCCACAUACGCAUCCUUUGCUGAGGAUACGGUUAACGGAGCGAAAGCGACGUUCAACCUCAAAAGAAGCAGAGGGGGCUUAGUGGUGGGGUGACUGCGUACCUUUUGUAUAAUGGGUCAGCGACUUAUAUUCUGUAGCAAGGUUAACCGAAUAGGGGAGCCGGAGGGAAACCGAGUCUUAACCGGGCGUUAAGUUGCAGGGUAUAGACCCGAAACCCGGUGAUCUAGCCAUGGGCAGGUUGAAGGUUGGGUAACACUAACUGGAGGACCGAACCGACUAAUGUUGAAAAAUUAGCGGAUGACCUGUGGCUGGGGGUGAAAGGCCAAUCAAACCGGGAGAUAGCUGGUUCUCCCCGAAAGCUAUUUAGGUAGCGCCUCGUGAAUUCAUCUCCGGGGGUAGAGCACUGUUUCGGCUAGGGGGUCAUCCCGACUUACCAACCCGAUGCAAACUGCGAAUACCGGAGAAUGUUAUCACGGGAGACACACGGCGGGUGCUAACGUCCGUCGUGAAGAGGGAAACAACCCAGACCGCCAGCUAAGGUCCCAAAGUCAUGGUUAAGUGGGAAACGAUGUGGGAAGGCCCAGACAGCCAGGAUGUUGGCUUAGAAGCAGCCAUCAUUUAAAGAAAGCGUAAUAGCUCACUGGUCGAGUCGGCCUGCGCGGAAGAUGUAACGGGGCUAAACCAUGCACCGAAGCUGCGGCAGCGACACUAUGUGUUGUUGGGUAGGGGAGCGUUCUGUAAGCCUGCGAAGGUGUCUCGUGAGGGAUGCUGGAGGUAUCAGAAGUGCGAAUGCUGACAUAAGUAACGAUAAUGCGGGUGAAAAACCCGCACGCCGGAAGACCAAGGGUUCCUGUCCAACGUUAAUCGGGGCAGGGUGAGUCGACCCCUAAGGCGAGGCCGAAAGGCGUAGUCGAUGGGAAACAGGUUAAUAUUCCUGUACUUGGUGUUACUGCGAAGGGGGGACGGAGAAGGCUAUGUUGGCCGGGCGACGGUUGUCCCGGUUUAAGCGUGUAGGUGUGUGUUCCAGGUAAAUCCGGUUCACUUUAACACUGAGGCGUGAUGACGAGGCACUACGGUGCUGAAGCAACAAAUGCCCUGCUUCCAGGAAAAGCCUCUAAGCAUCAGGUAACAUCAAAUCGUACCCCAAACCGACACAGGUGGUCAGGUAGAGAAUACCAAGGCGCUUGAGAGAACUCGGGUGAAGGAACUAGGCAAAAUGGUGCCGUAACUUCGGGAGAAGGCACGCUGAUAUGUAGGUGAAGUGGUUUACCCAUGGAGCUGAAAUCAGUCGAAGAUACCAGCUGGCUGCAACUGUUUAUUAAAAACACAGCACUGUGCAAACACGAAAGUGGACGUAUACGGUGUGACGCCUGCCCGGUGCCGGAAGGUUAAUUGAUGGGGUUAUCCGUAAGGAGAAGCUCUUGAUCGAAGCCCCGGUAAACGGCGGCCGUAACUAUAACGGUCCUAAGGUAGCGAAAUUCCUUGUCGGGUAAGUUCCGACCUGCACGAAUGGCGUAAUGAUGGCCAGGCUGUCUCCACCCGAGACUCAGUGAAAUUGAACUCGCUGUGAAGAUGCAGUGUACCCGCGGCAAGACGGAAAGACCCCGUGAACCUUUACUAUAGCUUGACACUGAACACUGGUCCUUGAUGUGCAGGAUAGGUGGGAGGCUUUGAAGCGCGGACGCCAGUUCGUGUGGAGCCAUCCUUGAAAUACCACCCUUUAAUGGCUGGUGUUCUAACGUAGACCCGUGAUCCGGGUUGCGGACAGUGUCUGGUGGGUAGUUUGACUGGGGCGGUCUCCUCCUAAAGAGUAACGGAGGAGCACGAAGGUUAGCUAAUCCUGGUCGGACAUCAGGAGGUUAGUGCAAAGGCAUAAGCUAGCUUGACUGCGAGCGUGACGGCGCGAGCAGGUGCGAAAGCAGGUC
rnacentral:rRNA from 1 species